rnacentral:rRNA from 1 species
GACGAACGCUGGCGGCGUGCUUAACACAUGCAAGUCGAACGCUGAAGCUCAGCUUUUGUUGGGUGGAUGAGUGGCGAACGGGUGAGUAACACGUGAGUAACCUGCCUCCUUCUUUGGGAUAACGCCCGGAAACGGGUGCUAAUACUGGAUAUUCACUGGUCUUCGCAUGGGGGUUGGUGGAAAGGGUUUUUCUGGUGGGGGAUGGGCUCGCGGCCUAUCAGCUUGUUGGUGGGGUGAUGGCCUACCAAGGCUUUGACGGGUAGCCGGCCUGAGAGGGUGACCGGUCACAUUGGGACUGAGAUACGGCCCAGACUCCUACGGGAGGCAGCAGUGGGGAAAAUUGCACAAUGGGCGCAAGCCUGAUGCAGCGACGCCGCGUGAGGGAUGGAGGCCUUCGGGCUGUGAACCUCUUUCGCUCAUGGUCAAGCCGCAACAAUGGUUGUGGUGAGGGUAGUGGGUAAAGAAGCGCCGGCUAACUACGUG